rnacentral:rRNA from 1 species
GGUCAGAGGUGGAAGCGUGGCGACAUGUGGAGCUGAUUGAUACUAAUCGAUCGAGGACUUAACCAAGUU